CUGCAUACGGGCUUGGACGUUGACCAGCCGCAGGAAGAAAACAAUGCCUUCAAAUGGCGAAGAGAAAGCUGUGGAAUACAGAGCAGGACAGAAACUCACAAAAAGGUGGAUGAUCUUCUGUGUAAGACAGGAUGAUGGGGGACAGGAUGGCCUAUUACUCCUGUGACGGCUCUGGGACAAAAGGACCCCGGAGGGAUUUGACUCCUGGGCUAUAGUACUUUACUUCACAGUAACUUACCCAAGACUGUCUACCACUAAGCCGUACAGGAGCACUCAGUUCCAGAUGGACAAAAUCAAGUCCCACAUUACAUUUUUUGCUGAUUUCAGAAGCCAUUUCACCUGGAUAUACGUCACGAUAGGGAAAUAAAC